ACAGUGGUAGUUCAGUGAUUGAAUUCUCACCUCCCAUGCGGGAGACCCAGGUUUGAUUCUUGGCUCGUGUA
rnacentral:tRNA from 1 species